rnacentral:rRNA from 1 species
AUGUGGAAUGAUGAGCUUCAAGUUCAUGUGCAUACGGCUUCCUUCUACGUUAUAUUAGCAAACGUUGUACAUAUUGCUACGGGUAGGGAUUUUGGGCUUGUUUGUAUCUAUGGUGAUCCUUAUCAUAGACAAACUGAUGUGAUUUGGGAUCAAAUUUCUAAUUUUGUGUAUGAUAAUCCUGGCAAGCCUGUAUUAUGUCUGGGAGACCUUAACGAGCUUUUGUAUGAUAUGGAUAAAAGUAAUGUUAAUGUGAAUCAUCGUCGCUUGCAUGCCUUUCGUGCUUUGAUCAAGAACUGUGGUUUUUUUGAUUUGGGAUUUUCGGGGCCUGCUUAUACUUGGACAAAUAGAAGAUUUUCUUCCAAUCCUACUUAUGAAAGGCUUGAUAGAGGAUUAGUUAAUCCUGAUUGGUGUGUUGAGUUUCCCCAUACUAAAGUUCUGAAUCUUCCUAUUAUUCUUAGCGAUCAUGCUCCUAUCUUUAUUACCACUGAAGGUCAAUACAAAAAACCUAAGCAAACUUUCAAAUUUGAUAAUUGGUGGCUGAAAGAAAAUGAUUUUCAAUCUUUUGCAAAGAAUGCUUGGGCCUCUAGUACAAACAGAAAUUUUUCUGCUCGUACUAACAAUCUUGCAGGUGCUCUGAAAGUGUGGUGCAAAAAGAAGAAACCUUUACAGCAGGAACUCUCCAGCCUAGAAGAACAAAUCAACCGUAUUCAAAUGCAGCCUCUAUCCAUGCAGGACCAUCAACUGGAAUCAACACUCGUUGUCAGACCUUUUCUAGCAUCCAGGAUCAUUUCUAACAGCCAUGACUACACGUAUAGCAUACCAGAUAAGGAGGAGAUCCUUAAUACUCUCAAGGAUAUGAAGAUAAAUGCCUCUCCUGGGCCUGAUGGAUUCAAUAUAGAAUUCUAUAUUGCCACUUGGAGCUGGAUUGGUGAUGAUGUUACGACUAUGGAGAUAACUCAUUCGUUUGCUCUUAAAUCUUGGAAACAACAAGCUUUCUUGCUUAAAAUUGAUUUGGCUAAGGCUUUCGAUCGACUUGAAUGGAAUUUCAUCGUUUCGGCUCUUUCGCGAAAGGGGUUGCACGGUCAUUUCAUAAAUUUGGUGUAUGCUUGCAUCUCUUCCCCAAGGUUCUCAGUCAUUAUUAAUGGCCAGCCUUUUGCAAAUUUUCGUAGCAAUAGAGGUUUAAGACAAGGUUGUCCCUUAUCGCCUUAUCUGUUUGUUCUUGCUAUUAAUGAGCUUUCUUUAAGCCUGCAUGAUGCUAUGAUACAAAAUCAACUGUCUGGCAUUUCUCUUGGUCCAAACUGUCCACCUAUUCAUUCAAUGCUUUUUGCUGAUGACUUGUUGGUUUGUGGUAAUGCCACAGUUCAGGAAGCUACCCAAAUGGCUCAUCUCAUCAACCACUUCUGUUCCCAAUCAGGAACCGACUGCUUCGGCUAUUAUUGCAACUCCUAUAGUUCUUGA